rnacentral:rRNA from 1 species
GAUGAACGCUGGCGGCGUGCUUAACACAUGCAAGUCGAACGGUGAAGGCGGAGCUUGCUCUGCUGGAUCAGUGGCGAACGGGUGAGUAACACGUGAGCAAUCUGCCCCUGACUCUGGGAUAAGCGCUGGAAACGGCGUCUAAUACUGGAUACGAGCUGCGAAGGCAUCUUCAGCAGCUGGAAAGAAUUUCGGUCAGGGAUGAGCUCGCGGCCUAUCAGCUUGUUGGUGAGGUAAUGGCUCACCAAGGCGUCGACGGGUAGCCGGCCUGAGAGGGUGACCGGCCACACUGGGAAGGAGACAACGGCCCAACUCCUACGGGAGGGAAGAGUGGGGAAUAUUGCACAAUGGGCGAAAGCCUGAUGCAGCAACGCCGCGUGAGGGACGGCGGCCUUCGGGUUGUAAACCUCUUUUAGCAGGGAAGAAGCGAAAGUGACGGUACCUGCAGAAAAAGCGCCGGCUAACUACGUG